UCCAGACUCCUACGGGAGGCAGCAGUGGGGAAUAUUGCACAAUGGGGGAAACCCUGAUGCAGCGACGCCGCGUGAGCGAAGAAGUAUUUCGGUAUGUAAAGCUCUAUCAGCAGGGAAGAAAAUGACGGUACCUGAGUAAGAAGCUCCGGCUAAAUACGUGCCAGCAGCCGCGGUAAUACGUAUGGAGCAAGCGUUAUCCGGAUUUACUGGGGGUAAAGGGAGCGUAGGCGGCCUGCCAAGUCUGAUGUGAAAUACCGGGGCUCAACCCCGGGGCUGCAUUGGGAACUGGCAGGCUGGAGUGCCGGAGAGGCAGGCGGAAUUCCUAGUGUAGCGGUGAACUGCGUAGAUAUUAGGAGGAACACCAGUGGCGAAGGCGGCCUGCUGGACGGUGACUGACGCUGAGGCUCGAAAGCGUGGGGAGCAAACAGGAUUAGAUACCCGCGUAU
rnacentral:rRNA from 1 species